rnacentral:rRNA from 1 species
AUUGAACGCUGGCGGCAGGCCUAACACAUGAAAGUCGAACGAGUGGCGGACGGGUGAGUAAUGGCUGGGAAACUGCCCGAUGGAGGGGGAUAACUACUGGAAAAGGUAACUAAUACAGCAAACCAUAGGAUGUGCCCGGAUUGGAGUAGCUAGUUGAGGGGGUAACGGCUCACCUAGGCGACGAUCCCUAGCUGGGCGGAGCGGAUGACCAGCCACACUGGAACUGAGACACGGUCCAGACUCCUACGGGAGGCAGCAGUGGGGAAUAUUGCACAAUGGGCGCAAGCCUGAUGCAGCCAUGCCGCGUGUAUGAAGAAGGCCUUCGGGUUGUAAAGUACUUUCAGCGAGGAGGCGUUACUCGCAGAAGAAGCACCGGCUAACUCCGUGCCAGCAGCCGCGGUAAUUC